GGGCCUAUAGCUCAGCGGCAGAGCAUCCGGCUCAUAACCGGGCGGUCCCUGGUUCGAUGCCAGGUGGGCCCA
rnacentral:tRNA from 3 species